rnacentral:rRNA from 1 species
UACGUAGGGUGCAAGCGUUAAUCGGAAUUACUGGGCGUAAAGCGUGCGCAGGCGGUUGUGUAAGUCAGAUGUGAAAUCCCCGGGCUCAACCUGGGAAUUGCAUUUGAGACUGCACGGCUAGAGUGUGUCAGAGGGGGGUAGAAUUCCACGUGUAGCAGUGAAAUGCGUAGAUAUGUGGAGGAAUACCGAUGGCGAAGGCAGCCCCCUGGGAUAACACUGACGCUCAUGCACGAAAGCGUGGGGGGCAAACAGG